ACUGAGAAGGAUAGCAGAUGCCCUGUGUUCAUUUCUGCUGCUGCAGGAGUAGCUUGUCUUUGCUGCAGAGCACAUCAUCACCUGUUGCCAGGCCCCACCAGUUGAGCAUCUAGUGCAUAUCUUCACAGCCUCUCUGAUUUCUGUCCUGCGCUACCGUCUCGCCAGCAAGAACGACGCGGCACACUCAGGAUCCUUCUGCAGUAAAGCUUUAAUGCAUCUUGAGAGGGAGAGCAUAAGCUUAUAGAGCGGAGACCCCGAACUCCCAAAAACCCAUCCCUUAUAUAGGCUGGCAACCGCCGCCUCGGACGUGUCACCCCCUGACUGGCUGCAGCUCAUCGGAUCAUAUGACGCCAUGGGAGAGGCAGAGACCAAGGGAUGGAAAGUUACCCAGCGCCUGCGCACUAACUUGUUUACCAUUCGGUGCCUGCCGGAUGCAGGCGCCAUCUUGUAAUGGAGAAUGCAGGGAUGGCUCCCUACAGAUUCCAAGAUGGCAACUGGCACAAUAGGCAAGGAGGACAGAAUCCCGCAACAUCUCUGCCAUUUCUAAUGGUAGACCAUUAGAAGGAUAGAAGGACCAAGCCUUCUGUCCAUGAGUCUGCGUGGGGCGGCCAGUCCAGAUCCAAGCUAUAGUAAGAACUAAUGGGAUACACCAUCCCCUGGACACAGGCUCAUGGAAACCCACAUAGAGGUAGAAGUCUGACUGGGGACACACUCUAAGGCUUUGGGACAUGGACACAUCUCUUCCCUUCUCUGGACCUCAUUUCUCCCAGCUGGAAAAUAAAACAGUUCAGGGACACACCUUCAGUGGUCCAUUCUAACUCCUCCCUUCCUCAUGAGCCACACACUGUCUAUCUUGGGGAUGUUAGUUCAGGUCAUGAGCUCCCUGAGGCUGAAUCCUUCCCUUUGUUGAAGUUUCAGGGACAUCAGUUUUUGUCCCUGUCACCCCCUUGAUUAGUAUUGACUAAGUGCCCACAAAAACUUUGCCGAGAGCCUGGUUCUGCCCUCUGUCAGGUCCUGUCAGCAAGAGGAGAGGCAGAUGUAUCAUAAAUCUAUAUUUUUUAUAAGACUUAUCGAGGAUGCCUUCUGCUUCCCAGGAUCACAUGGUGGCUCUGUGGAGAAGAGAGCAGGAGGAAGAGGAAGAGAACAACUUCCUCUUUGUCCCUGCUUAUAUUCUGAGUCUGCCUGCUAUGUCACUUCCUGCCUGGAUCACAAGACUUUUUUUACUGCAUUUUCCCAGAAUCCUCCUUGACUCCUAGUCCUGCUUAACUUGCUUCUUCAUUGGCCAACAGUACUUUAUUUAACAACCAAUGAGAUAAACAUACACAGAAGGACUUGCCCCAUCACAUAUUCAUUCUUAUUUUUAGUGGAUGGGUUAGAAUGGUUUGUGUUUCCAUAUGGAAAAGGGCAACCAAUGCCUGUGGGGAUGGACCCAAACAAUGUGAGUUCAGAUGUAUUGUGAAUGUUCAGAACUCCAUGACAAAGAGAAAGUCACUUAGAAAGUGACAGAAGCUGGAAUGCCUGUUGUGUCCUCAACAACAACUAGAAGCUAUAAAGCAGAAAUUAAAAACUUUUGAACUAAAAUUAUUGUCAGUAUCAUCUGUGGGGUAUCAUCUGUGGGGUAAGGGCCAAAUAUGUCAUCUUUAGGUUUGCAGUAUCAGUUUUAUUUUCCUUGAAUUUCUCAGUAAUGUGCUAGAGAAAAUAUUCCACCAGAAUAAGAGAAUGGAUCAGAAAGAGGAAAUGAUACAAGCAAGAGGAAACUGGAGCCUAGACUCCUAGGACCUGUAUAAUCUGCUCACCUGUAAUCCCAGCA
rnacentral:lncRNA from 1 species